rnacentral:rRNA from 1 species
UAGGGAAUCUUCCGCAAUGGGCGAAAGCCUGACGGAGCAACGCCGCGUGAGUGAAGAAGGAUUUCGGUUCGUAAAGCUCUGUUGUUAGGGAAGAAUGAUUGUGUAGUAACUAUACACAGUAGAGACGGUACCUAACCAGAAAGCCACGGCUAACUACGUGCCAGCAGCCGCGGUAAUACGUAGGUGGCAAGCGUUGUCCGGAAUUAUUGGGCGUAAAGCGCGCGCAGGUGGUUUAAUAAGUCUGAUGUGAAAGCCCACGGCUCAACCGUGGAGGGUCAUUGGAAACUGUUAAACUUGAGUGCAGGAGAGAAAAGUGGAAUUCCUAGUGUAGCGGUGAAAUGCGUAGAGAUUAGGAGGAACACCAGUGGCGAAGGCGGCUUUUUGGCCUGUAACUGACACUGAGGCGCGAAAGCGUGGGGAGCAAACAGGAUUAGAUACCCUGGUAGUCCACGCCGUAACGAUGAGUGCUAAGUGUUGGUCUCAUAAGAGAUCAGUGCUGCAGCUAACGCAUUAAGCACUCCGCCUGGGGGAGUACGACCGCAAGGUUG